AAUAUACUCCCUCCGUCCAAAAAUAUUUGUCGGAGAAAUCGAUGUAUCUGGACAUAUUUUAGUUCUAAAUAUAUUAUUUUUUAUCCGUUUCCGAGCGACAAGUAAUUCCGGACAAAGGGAGUAUAUU
rnacentral:pre_miRNA from 1 species